rnacentral:lncRNA from 1 species
CAAUUUCUUAAACAAAUUUCUUAGAAAACCAGUUUCUUAAAAAUGUAAAAACAAACUUGUAGAAACAAGUUGUGGCAUAUUUGUAAACAAAGUUACGGCCAAAGUAAUAUUGAAAAUAAAAACAUUGGCAAUCUUGUAAAGAAAAGGUAUCCUCUAAACAAACAAACCUGCAAUAAUGAGUCAUUGUGACAAAGAAGAAAUAAAACAUUGGCUUUUCUUACUUCUACAAAUAAUAAAAUGUUAACAUGUAACUUUUAUAUAUUUAAAAUAUUUGGCAACCCAUUUAGUUUUGGUAAUAGCCAUUUAUUUUGUUUUGCAACCAUAUGAUUGCAAACAUCGCACACGCACAUAGAGGCUCACACGCACACAGUCAGAUUCAAUUCGGGAUGGAGGGAACAACAAGAAAUAAUGAUAACUGGAUUCUAUAACAAACGACAAACCUUCAAAAUCCUUAAUUCAUAGCUAUCAUUUGUAGUUUAAUACUCAUGGAUUUUAGUAAUUGCUGCUCUAGAAAUGCAUUUAGAAAAUUUCAUUAAACCCAAUCACUUACUAAGAAACACGUUGUGUUAAAGCUAAUAAUAUGCGUGAAGCAUAAAUCAUUGAGAAAGAUUGCUAACCAACUGCAACUGAAUAUGCUAAUGUACAUAAAAGAUCACAUGAUGAAACGUUUACCAGCAAUAGCAAUGUGUUAGAUCUACUAUUUUGGUGUCAAGUAGCCCUUGGAGUUCCCCCAAACACUUCAGUAGGAAAUCAUUAAUAAAGCAUCCCAAUGAAGUGUUCGGAGGAUCUCUGAGGGACACUUGGCUUUUCCUACAUCUGUAUUUGCUUGAAGUUGAUUGCUUUGUUUAGAAAAUAAACGUGCCAGAAUUACUUGGUAUAUAUAGAGGGAGAGGGAGUAGAGGUUAUUUUCUGAUCGAUGAACAUGGAUACAUCAGCAGCAUGAACAUGGUUGCCAUCGUGUCUCUAUUAGGAGAUAUAUUUUCCCAUAAUCCCAAUUUUCACAUAAAGGGAAAUAUAUGAGAGUGACGAGUUAUGCUGAGGACCAGGUGAACAUGGGUAUCAUAUUCUCAUUUGAUCAUCUAUCCCAUAUACAUGACCACAUUCAAUCUCUGACCUACAAUAUAUAACAUAUUAGCAUAAGAUUUGAUAAUGGGAAAGAGAUGUAUAUUGAUUAUUCAUUCAAAACUAGAAUUGAAUCGAAUAUACCAUGACUGCAAUAUCAUGUAAAGAAAUGAUGCAUGCUGAUUUAUAUAUAAGGUUACAGACACGGCAAGAGGCAGGACAUGCAAAAUUCUGCUCUAAUUGAACUUUUUGUGAAAGAUUUCCUAUUGCAGGUCCACUAGUCUGAUUCUCUUCUUACUCUCAUAAGCUCCCUCGAUUAUAACCCCACUAUCAUUUUCAAGUUUCAACCAUUACCCUCCAAUUAUGUUCAAAUGUGUAUAAACUAUAAAAGGCGUUGAAAGAUUCUCACAUCCACAUAAUCACCCUACACCUAUCACCAUAUAUUUGGAGACUGCAUCUCAUUGUGCACCUGCUUGUAAUUUUGUUUUCUUCUGAUUUUCAUUCGUAUGUAUUCUGCCCCCUGUAAUUUACCAGCUAGCUUUCAAUCUUUUUGUUUUUAAAAAUCUGCGGUUCUAGAAAAAAGUUGUAGAGAGAAUGAAGAGCAACUUACCAGGUAAAUAAAGAUCCAGUUGAAAAAAAUUGAUUUAUCAAUCCCCCUCUAUUUUUUUUUUCAAUUGAUAAAUAUAGUUACUGUUGGUGAUAAUGAAGAGCAUUGACGAUGGAGUAGACUUUGAAUGAUAUGGGAAAGGAAGCAGCAACCAUUUGAUCAAGGGGAGGUUUUCCGAUUGCGUUGGAGCAACGAUUUCUGUUUACAUAAGUUGAAUAAAAAUAAACUAGUUAACGAUUUAUUUUAGGUUUAAAACACAAACAGGUAAUAAGCCGAUUUAAAUGAAAGAAAAUUCACAAAAAAUAACGACUAUAAAGAACGAUUAGACAAAGAAUUAAAAACACCGUUUCUUAAAUUUUUUUAUUUAAAAUCAUUUUUUUUAAAUAAUGUGAAACUAUAUUUCAAAAAUAUGGUGCAAAUUUGUAAAAACAAAUCCGAAGCUAAUUCAUAAUUUUUUUUUUAAAUCCGGUGACGAACUCGCUAUAGCCCAUCAGAUGGUUUAUGUGAGGACGAACUCAUGAAGUCAAGGUGGAUAGAUGAUGAGGGUUGGUUUAGGGUACGACAAAAUACAAUGAAUUUGAAGCCAACAUCGGGAAGGGUCAUUGAAACUUAAUCAUCAGCAAGUAAGUUCUCAUGUUCUCGUUCAGCCUACGCUAGAAUAAAAUGAAUUCCAGGAAAAAUUGAGAUGAUAAGAACAUCAUCCUCGUCAUUACAGCCAGAUAGAUCGAUUGAGAGGGAGGUAAAAGGUAGGAGAUGGCGAUUUCCAUCUACUAACACCUCAUAGAUUGAUGUUUAAGCUAACUUUAUUCAAAUAGUGCGUGGAGGAAUCUAAUGUUUAAUUUUAAGGUAUGAGUUAUUCCCAUUUGUAUUGAACUUAGGUUUGAAGCGUUUAUUGGAAAUAAAAAUCCGUUUCGUGUUCAUUUUAGGGACAGGAUUUUCUUUUUAACCAUUUGUAGAUAAUUUAUGUGGUUGCAAGCUCCGAUCUAUCACCCACUUGAUAGAUUUGGUGUGUUUGGGUGAAAAACAUAAUUAUGACCUAUGUUUCCAAUUGGGGGUUACGUGUGUUGGAUUGCCACUUCAGAUGGCGAGAGCAAGCGAACGAUUCAGAUGCUCAAAGAUUCGCUUUGGUCUUAUGUAUUAGAUUUUGGAGGGAGUUGGAAUACUUACCUUCCACUGGCUGAGUUCUCCUACAAAAGCAGUUAUCAUGCCGGUACUCACCGGCCAUCGUUUAAGAUGUUAUAUGGAAGGAGGUGCAAUACCCGGUUUGCACGGGAGAGGUCGGGCAUCGGGUCAUGGGUGUACUGAGGUGGUACUCAAGACCAUUGAAUUGAUUCCGUAGGUGCACGACAUUUUGCAGGUCCCCUAAAGCCGAUAGGAGAGUUAUGCAGAUCGGGGACGUUCGGACCUUGUGUUUCAGGAGGGGGAUUUGGUGCUUUUAAAGAUGUCACCUUGGAAAUAUGUGAUCCGAUUUCAAAAGUCGGGAAGCUGGCAGCAGAUUUAUUGGUCCCUUCAGGAUUUCUUCCCUGGUGGGAAAUGUUGAACACCAUCUGGAUUUUCCUGAUGACUCAGCCGGAUGUACAAAACCUUCCAUGUGUCUCAAGUUCGGAAGUGUGUCGUCAAUUAGCUCGAAGUUGUUCAUUUGGAUUACAUUCAGGUUGAUGAUCGUCUAAAUUAUGUGAAGAGAUCGGUGACGAUCUUGGAUUGGAAGACGAACACUCUUUGCAACAUAGGAGUAUCACUACACAAGGUCCAGUGGCAUCAUCGGAAGGAUUUCGAAUGGAAGUGGGAGCCUGAGGCGGCAAUGCGAGAGCACUACCUUAAUUUAUUUGCAACAACAGACUUUGUGGACGAAGUCUAGUUCAAGUGGGGGAGAGUUGUAACAUUUUUAUUUGCAAGUAUUUUAAAAUUUUACACUUGAUUUGAGUUUGGUUUUAAAAUUUUGUCCCAAGCGGUAUUUUCGUAAUUUUUGCGUAGGAGACUCGUACGUUGGGCGUACAUGGCGAGGGUGCAAACCCUAAAUUUUAUGGUUUGGACCCUAUUUAAGCAUCAUUAUAGACCACACCCUCAUUUAUCUUCAGCCUCCAUCCCUAUCUCGAAACCCUAAAGUAAGUGAGUGAGUUUUGAAGCGUGAUGAGCCUUUGUAGUGCCAUUCUAGUGCUCUUAGUGCUGAAUUAGGAACCUAGAAGUUGUCGUGUUUCACUCAAGGCUUUGGAUCCUAGAACUACUCUGUCUUGUUCAUCUUCUGGAGGUAUAAAGCUACAACUUGAUGAUUACCCUAUCUCGAAACCCUAAAGUAAGUGAGUGAGUUUUGAAGCGUGAUGAGCCUUUGUAGUGCCAUUCUAGUGCUCUUAGUGCUGAAUUAGGAACCUAGAAGUUGUUGUGUUUCACUCAAGGCUUUGGAUCCUACAACUACUAUGUCUUGUUCAUCUUCUGGAGGUAUAAAGCUACGACUUGAUGAAUAUUUCAUUAAGAUGUAGUUUAGUUUAAUGUUAGCACCUUUUUGUACCAAAUAUUGAUUCUUAUGAGUAUGGAGUACUCCAAGAUGUUUGAGUUGUCAUUUCAGAUGUUAUAGGGUGUGUUAAGUCAUAAAAAUAUGAUCUUGGACAUUAGCUCCUUCACAUGCAUGAUCUAGAUUGUCUUAAUGGGUCAAGAGACUAGGGUCUUUUUAGCCAUGAAAACCCAUAAAGUUGGAAACUUUAUGGUUCUGAACACUUGUUAGGGUCUAGAUCUAGAUUUUGGACGUAAGUGCUUAAGGAUUUAGCACUUAAUGGAUUGGGUAGGUGGCAACCACGAACGUUGGGCAUAGCAACGGGUAGACUGUACGAUCAGGGUCAGCCCUUCGACAUUUUCUCAAGCAAGUAGUAUUACCGAUUUCUAGAUUAUUAAGUUAUUCAAAAUUCUCGAUCGUGCUUUUGGAAGUAAGUAGUGAUUUAAGAUUAUAAUGGAGCAUUGAUAGAUUGUCCAUGGUGAUGCAUAAAGAAAAUUUUGGAAUAAAUGCUCAUGAGUACUUUAAAUGGAGAUUUUAAGGUAUUGGAGUAACCCACACUUAGAGAUUACUUCAUGGAUUCUAUUACAAGUAAUUCUAAGAUGGUAAUAUCAUAUAUACGUCAAACGGAGAUGCUUGGGAUUCUCUCCUACAAUCUGUUUUGUUUUGGUUUCCCCCAAACAUUGUUCGUAAAUGGCAAUUAUAAAGGGUUUGAGUAGAUAUGACAUGCACAAUAGGCAGAAUCUUUUAAGUCGAAGUUUAUUUGUUCGCUUCUCCCUCAAAAAAUAAAAACAGAUAUCAUUGUUCCCAUCGAUGAUUUGAUUUUGACAUUAAAAUACAUGGUCGUGCUCAUACUAAAUUGAUGGAUAAAUUAUGCAGUUUUCUUUUGAUUGAUACAAAUUAGUAUCGGGAAACAAAAUCUUGAACAUUUGAGAUUGAAUGUAUCAAUGUCUCAUUUUCAUAUACAUAUCUCGAAGAACAAAGGAACAUUUGAUUACAUAUCUAAGGGAUAUAUCACACUUAUAUGUUUUGAUUAUGACAAAUACAUUUGACUAGAUCCUCUCUACUCAUUACUAUUAAAUAAUAGACCAUAUAGUCUUCGUGACUUGUGCAAGUUGAGGUCUUAGAAAAUGGUGCCAAGAGUUACAACACAGUGACAUGUAAGUUAUUAGUACAUAAUGUUAUAAGAUGCAACUUUGGGUAUACACAUAACCGUUAUUACCCUUUGAGGGAUGAAUCACCUGAUAAUAAAAAGAAAAUAUAAAAAGACAAGUUUACUUUUAUGUAAAACCCAUUAAAAAGUUGUUAUAAACAUGUAGUAGUUGUAAUAUAUCUUAAAAACUAUGAAUAAAAUGAAUAUAUAAAAAAAGAAAUUGAAUUAGUAAAAAAAAUCAAUUUCUUAAACAAAUUUCUUAAAAAACCAGUUUCUUAAAAAUGUAAAAACAAACUUGUAGAAACAAGUUGUGGCAUAUUUGUAAACAAAGUUACGGCCAAAGUAAUAUUGAAAAUAAAAACAUUGGCAAUCUUGUAAAGAAAAGGUAUCCUCUAAACAAACAAACCUGCAAUAAUGAGUCAUUGUGACAAAGAAGAAAUAAAACAUUGGCUUUUCUUACUUCUACAAAUAAUAAAAUGUUAACAUGUAACUUUUAUAUAUUUAAAAUAUUUGGCAACCCAUUUAGUUUUGGUAAUAGCCAUUUAUUUUGUUUUGCAACCAUAUGAUUGCAAACAUCGCACACGCACAUAGAGGCUCACACGCACACAGUCAGAUUCAAUUCGGGAUGGAGGGAACAACAAGAAAUAAUGAUAACUGGAUUCUAUAACAAACGACAAACCUUCAAAAUCCUUAAUUCAUAGCUAUCAUUUGUAGUUUAAUACUCAUGGAUUUUAGUAAUUGCUGCUCUAGAAAUGCAUUUAGAAAAUUUCAUUAAACCCAAUCACUUACUAAGAAACACGUUGUGUUAAAGCUAAUAAUAUGCGUGAAGCAUAAAUCAUUCAGAAAGAUUGCUAACCAACUGCAAC